AAAAAAACUUAUAAAACCUAAAAGAGUUGUACAUCUUCGCUAUUUACACGUUAAAAUGACCCGCGCUAAAAGAUCGAUGCUUUCCAAAGAAGACUUCUACGAAAGUUUGUCCUGAACAUCAGAUGGCCAACGACUGCGACGAACGAAACGGUGUACAACAACACAAGAGCGAAGAAAUGGAGUGAUGAAAUACACAAAAGACGGUUAAGAUGGUUCAGCAAGAUCCAGCAAAUGAACAUUAAUGCUCCCGCACGAAAAGCAAUGCGGUACGCAGAGAUGCCUCCUAAAAGGCAAAAGGCCGACCCCCAACGACAUUGUCAACUAAUGUCAAACAGGACAUAGCCAUGUUAUAUAUAGAUUGGCAAAACGCACGCGAAGUUGCGACGCAUCACCCAAAAGACUGGGAACGAAUGAUAAAGAACUUAUUAUAAUCUUUUUUUACGGUAUCGAUAAUAUAGAUUUAUUUACGAAAUAUCGAAAGAAAUGAAAUGAAAAGCCCUUGCAGGCUAAAAGAUUUCA